rnacentral:rRNA from 1 species
GACGGAGGGGGCUAGCGUUGUUCGGAAUUACUGGGCGUAAAGCGCGUGUAGGCGGUUGUCCAAGUUGGAUGUGAAAGCCUUGAGCUUAACUCAAGAAAUGCAUUCAGGACUGGAUGACUAGAGGACCGGAGAGGAUAGUGGAAUUCCCAGUGUAGUGGUGAAAUACGUAGAGAUUGGAAGAACACCAGUGGCGAAGGCGGCUAUCUGGACGGUUUCUGACGCUAAGACGCGAAAGCGUGGGGAGCAAACAGG